GUAAAUUGUAAGAUGAGCUAGCAAAAUAGGAUGUGGUGUCUUACAGGGUAUUUAAGAUGUACUCUAAAAGUAGAGAGAGAACUAAAAGUUCCUGCUGGUGUAAUAUAGGAGGAGCAGGCUUGUUUUUAUCAAUGUAGUCCAUGGUAAGGCCUAUGAAUAUCAAUGGAAAAGGAUUUUGCAUUUCAUCAGUAAUAUUUACCUUGCUGCAUGUCUCAUAAGGAGACUCAAGACUUGUGAGGAAAAAAUUAUAUCCAGAACUAAGAGCAUGAGCACCCUGUCGACAACUAAGAAAGUCUCCUACUGCAUAUGUGUACUACCAAAGAUGAUGCUUAACAUAGAGAAGAACAUGCAUCAGUAAGUGUAGAAAAGUCACAACUGAGUAAGUAGUUUUCCUGUCCUAUAAACACUUUUUUCCUGAAAAACACCAUAUAAAUUUGUAAGUGCAUGUGAUAACUAACAUUAUCUCACAUUUACUUGAUGCAAUUGUUGCUUUUCACACUUGCUAGAAACAACUACUUUGUUUUGUUGCUAGUAAAACUGUGGGAGCUCUACCUCAGGGACAGAUAAAGUACUGGGUGAAGUUUUGCAGGAAUAAAGGUAUAUUUUGA
rnacentral:lncRNA from 1 species